CACGUAGGCACCAAGCGUUGUCCGGAUUUAUUGGGCGUAAAGAGCUCGUAGGCGGUUCGGUAAGUCGGGUGUGAAAACUCUGGGCUCAACCCAGAGACGCCACCCGAUACUGCCGUGACUAGAGUGCGGUAGGGGAGCGGGGAAUUCCUGGUGUAGCGGUGAAAUGCGCAGAUAUCAGGAGGAACACCAGUGGCGAAGGCGCCGCUCUGGGCCGUAACUGACGCUGAGGA
rnacentral:rRNA from 1 species